GACGAACGCUGGCGGCGUGCCUAAUACAUGCCAGUAGAACGCUGAAGGAGGAGCUUGCUUCUCUGGAUGAGUUGCGAACGGGUGAGUAACGCGUAGGUAACCUGCCUGGUAGCGGGGGAUAACUAUUGGAAACGAUAGCUAAUACCGCAUAAUAGUAGAUGUUGCAUGACAUUUGCUUAAAAGGUGCAAUUGCAUCACUACCAGAUGGACCUGCGUUGUAUUAGCUAGUUGGUGAGGUAACGGCUCACCAAGGCGACGAUACAUAGCCGACCUGAGAGGGUGAUCGGCCACCCUGGGACUGGGACACGGCCCAGACUCCUACGGGAGGGAGCAGUAGGGAAUCUUCGGCAAUGGACGGAAGUCUGACCGAGCAACGCCGCGUGAGUGAAGAAGGUUUUCGGAUCGUAAAGCUCUGUUGUAAGGGAAGAACGAGUGUGAGAGUGGAAAGUUCACACUGUGACGGUAUCUUACCAGAAAGGGACGGCUAACUACGUG
rnacentral:rRNA from 1 species